AGAGGUCAUGAGCUUCCUCUUCUCUGGUCCUCAAAUUAUGUAAAUAGCAUUGGGAAAAUGCUUCUCCCUCGGGGCUGGCUCUGGGAGUCUGUCCUCUUUCUGUGAUUUUUCUCGUCCAGGGAAACACAGGGCAGGCUGUGUGGUUUUGUCCUAAGUAACUAAGAGUUAUUGGGAUGCACACACCAGCAGCCGGAGCCAUAAACAACAUUCGUAAACUGUAGCAGGCAUUGCACUGCCGCUUUGACCAGACGGCCAGACACAAUCUGUUUGCGACUCUUUUCAGGAGUGGAAUUUCCAGGAAACUUUGGCGACCACAUCUCAAGACUUCUGAGCUUGCUCGCCACUCAGGAGAGCCUAGAGAUGGGGAAGGGGAGCUGCUGUAGGGCAGCCUUGAUGGAUAGUGCAUUCAGCGACUCCUCACGGUGUGAGUAUCCUUACCCUCCAAAGGGCACUGUCUAUGAGACCUGCAUUUGCGGACCCGAGGCUAACCCAAUGACUCUUCCUUAUGCCCUCCCUUCUCUUCCAUGAUUUUUGUUGUCUUUUCCUGGGGUGUCCUGUGGCCAUUUUCUUGUUACUCUCCUUCAGAGUACACAGAGGGAGAUCUUGGCCAAUCAUUUGUUUUGGAAGCUUGUCACUGUGUGGCUGGGUUGCCUGGCACUUCAUGUUUGUUGGGGAUGAGAGUUAGGGAGUGUUGUGUCAAUAGACUGUAGGGACAGACAUGUGUUGGAUUAUCCUGGGCUGUGUCCUAAAGGUCACUUGGGAGUGCGUAAGAAAUCCCAGCAACAAGAAGUGGGGUACACAUACCUGGUGGCCAAAGAAGAAAUGAUGGACAAGCCUCCAAACAGAGUCGCCCUAACUCGUACCCAAAAACCGUCACUGAGGAUAUUAUCCAGAAUCCCAAGAUACCAGGAGCCAGCUUUAGGCGGCACUAAGGAUCUUAUGUGACGAGGUGGCUGAUGUUGGAAAAAGGAUAGAUACCCUGUGAAGAUCUACUCUACUGAGUCAAUCAUCCACAGUUCCGAGAGGAGCCAUCCCCACUCCUUAACUUGAAUGAACAUUCAAGAAUUACCUGCUGGUGCACGUGUGUCUAAUCUAGGACUCAAUGAGACAAUGAUUCUCAGGCCACAGUAAGACUCAAUUGAGCCUAAGAGACUAGAGUUGGUAGCCUGGAGGAAGCUGACCGGCGAAGCCUCCUGAGGAUGGAGAGCAAGAGAUGCCCCUGGAAAGAACACAUCCAGCUGUCAGACGCUAUCUGAAUCCUAGGAAUGCGUUCCUUGCUUCUGAUUCCAGCACCACUAAGCUGACAUUGUUGCCCUCUGGGCAGCUUUUCAAAGGCAGGGGUCACACCAUGAGCUUGGUUUGGUUAUCCGUCUAAAAGUUAUAUCUUCCAUUCUGGAAACACUAACUGACGGAUGUUAUUGCUUGAGACAGCAAUCAGGCGCGGAGAUCAUUUGCAUAAUGGAGUGAAGUGUCGAACUGUGUUUUCUAGUCUACACAACUUGCAAGGCAAAUGCAUUAAACUCAGCCAUUGUGCCUCUGUUACCAAAA